rnacentral:rRNA from 1 species
UACGUAGGGGGCAAGCGUUGUCCGGAUUUAUUGGGCGUAAAGGGUGCGUAGGUGGCGCCGUAAGUCGGGUGUGAAAUUUCGGAGCUUAACUCCGAAACUGCAUUCGAUACUGCGGUGCUUGAGGACUGGAGAGGAGACUGGAAUUCAUGGUGUAGCAGUGAAAUGCGUAGAGAUCAUGAGGAAGACCAGUGGCGAAGGCGGGUCUCUGGACAGUUCCUGACACUGAGGCACGAAGGCCAGGGGAGCAAACGGG